UGUGACAACAGCGGGUCGAGGAUGUUUCUGGUUGCGACAACCAAUCAUAUCGCCGUCUGCAACCAAGACGUAACCAAGAAUUGUACUCGCCAACCAAUCCGAGACACCAGUGCAACCAGUAAUUGACCAAUGAGGAUAGAACUAUGGCGGGACCUUUAAACUCUAGUCAAGAGGCCCAUGGAAAAGUGUAUUUCCUUUCAGGUAAUUUUGUUCGCGAGUUUAAUUUAUUUUCUGAAGUAACAUGAGCUGUAGCGGGACCUUUAAACGCUAGAAGAGAACAAUGGAAAAAUAUAUUUCCUCGGGUAAUUUGUUCGCAAAUUAUCUUUAUUUUCUGAAGUAACGUUAGCUACAAUUUUUUUUGUUGUCUGCUGUUUUCAUUGAUCAUCAUCAUCGAUCGGAAUAUCUAGCUGGGAGAGAAGUAUGCCUUCCCAAGGGAUAGCAAUGCAUGUAGCCUGUUUGGAUCAUAAGUGGAUGUCCAAGGCAUUGUUCAGGUGGUCGGGGAAUGGGAUUCCAGUGAUGGUCUUUUCCAGGGUUGACAAAAUGUGGUGUGACCAACCCUCCACCACCAUCUGCAGCCCAGUAGAGAUGGAGAGGUACUUUGCCUGUCCUCUGCUGCUCUCGAUGCCCAGGAAACUGGCAGGUUGAGCUGCAUUCUGCCCACAUUCUGCAGUAGGAAGGUCUUCAGUUGGAACAUAUAGUUCCUUACACUGUUCCACACUAAAUACACUGCUGAUGGGUUUGGGGUACCUCUUCGAUCAGACUGGGUUUGGUGCUGCAGGAUCACAAGGCUGCUAUUGAGGAACUGGAGACAGGUGAUCCUGAUGUCCAAGAGGAGGAUGAUGAGGGCUUUGUGGCGCUUGUGGAAGUUCAGGACCUGACAGUUCCAGUGGUGGAGACAGCCCUGCCUCUUGUUGGCACCUUUCGCCCUACUGUCACCCCCUCUACCAGCAUCCAGUCCACAGCUGCAUCAGUCAGUCCCCUGUCCUCCACUCCUGUACGGGCUACUCCCACCCCCUCUACCAGCAUCCAGUCCACAGCUGCAUCAGUCAGUCCCCUGUCCUCCACUCCUGUACGGGCUACUCCACCACCUGGGCCUCUGUC